GGGGGUAUAGCUCAGGGGUAGAGAGCUCCCUUAGCAUGGGAGAGGGCUGGGGUUCGAUUCCCUAUACCUCCA
rnacentral:tRNA from 1 species